rfam:Ornithorhynchus anatinus chromosome X5, whole genome shotgun sequence.
CCCCUCUCAGGGUCACACCUGGAGAGUUCCCAGUACUCUAUUAGUCUCGAUUACAGGAGGGAGAGUCAAACAGAGGCAUAUCCAUUCCAUUCCUAGCUUGGGCAGUAGCUAGCCAGUGGAAGGCAAUCUGCUACAAGU